CGGGUGAAGUGGAUAGCAGGAUACUUGUCACAUAAUCAGGCGCUUGUGGAGUAGUCCAGUAGCUGUGCCCAGAGUUGAGGGUGUAGGCUUGGAUGCAGUCAGAAGGUGGCGCCCGCCACUCGCUACAUGCUUGCGGUGGUGGCGUGGAUGUGCCAUCAUAGGUAAGAGGUCACGUGAUUCUGGUAUAUUAGCCUGUUACAUUCUGAGCUUCAAUUUUCAUCAGAAGUCGGCAAAUAUGCGGUCCUGCUUGAACAUGAUGUCAGGUUGCUGGUAGUCGCGGUCACGGGAGCACGUGGCAUCUGCCAUAAUGUGUGUCUCCAUGCCAGUCUUCUGCUUACUCAGCAACACCUCUUGGGCCCAUCACAGUCAGGUAGCUUCCCAGGAGUAGACCAGGAUCACCCCCGGGAUGCAGAGUGGAUUUGGUGGGGCUCAUGACACACAUGGCCAGAAGAUCGGUCACUGCUCCCAUCCGGUAUGCCUCCC